CCCAUUGAGUUUAAGCAUAUAAUUAAGCACAGGAAAAUAUACUUAAAAUGAUUCACCUAGUUACGGCGAGCGAACCGAGAAGAGCCCAGCAUGAAAAUCGGGUGGCAGCGCCACCUGAAUUGUAGUCUGUAUAAGCGUCCUUAGCGGAGGACUAGGCCUAAGUCCCCUAGAAGGGGGCGCCUAAGAGGUUGACAUCCCCGUCGGGCCAGGACCCUACUGCACCAUGAGGCAUUGUCAGCGAGUUGGGUUGUUUGUGAAUGCAACCCUAAUUGGGUGGUAAAUUCCAUCCAAGGAUAAAUAUGGGCAAGAGACCGAUAGAGAACAAGUAUCGUGACAGAAAGAUGAACAGGAAUUUGAAAAUAAAGUUAAAGAGUUCUUGAAAUUGUCGGGAGGGAAGCAAAUGGAGGUCGAUGAUGAGUCUCGUUUGGAUGUGGAACGACUCAAGCUAGUCCACUACUCGAUUCAAGGUGCGAACCAGCACAGGUCGUUGCAUCGGAACAAGUGCGGGUGGAGUAUUUCAUGUUGGUUUUCGAUUGUGGCGGUCGAGGAGCGAAGAAAUCAAGGGAUUCCACCAACACUCAUUUAAAUUUAUUUUUAAUCGCUUGCCAAUACUUCUUUUAGUUUGUUGAUAUUCAA
rnacentral:ncRNA from 1 species